rfam:Mus musculus chromosome 7, GRC primary reference assembly.
UUCCUUUGCUGGUUUAUAAGAGUGAACACCGGAAUGCUCAUGCCACAGCGUGACAUGUGACUCGCACAAACCUUGUUAGGAUGGUGGCACAUUGACACUGAGAAA